UUGAAUAAACUUAGUGGGUUGUUGCUGGCUCUGAGGGGCAUGUGCACACCUGCUGUUUACCACCUUCACCUGUGCACAUUUUGUAGACUUGGAUAUCAUUCGAGGCAACUUGGUUUGAAGACUGCAGGCUUUUCACAAGGUCUGCUUUCUUUGCAUUUCUCGGUCUAUGUUUUCAUAUACACUAUUAUAAUGUUAUAGAAUGUACAUUAAUAGGCAUUGAUGCCUUUAAACUUUAAUA
rnacentral:misc_RNA from 1 species